GGGCGGUUAGCUCAGUUGGUCAGAGCAUCGAGCUUACACCUCGAGGGUCACAGGUUCGAACCCUGUACCGCCCACCA
rnacentral:tRNA from 1 species